UACGGGGGGAGCAAGCGUUGUUCGGAUUUACUGGGCGUAAAGGGCGCGUAGGCGGCCUCCGCAAGUCAGUUGUGAAAUCUCCGAGCUUAACUCGGAAAGGUCAACUGAUACUGUGGGGCUAGAGUGCGGAAGGGGCAACUGGAAUUCUUGGUGUAGCGGUGAAAUGCGUAGAUAUCAAGAGGAACACCUGCGGCGAAGGCGGGUUGCUGGGCCGACACUGACGCUGAGGUGCGAAAGCGUGGGGAGCAAACAGG
rnacentral:rRNA from 1 species